GUGACGCCAGGAGCCCAGACCACUGCCGGGGCCCUCCCCGCCCUGACAGGUCAGCGCCCAGCAGCGUCAGGCCUCCCAGCAGAAGGUGUGGUGCCGACCAGGUCCAGAGGGGCUUGGCCUCCUCUGCCUGGGACGGUCGGGAGCGGGGACAGGCUGGCCUCCACCCGGGUGGCAGAGGGUCCGUUUUCUUACUCAAACUGGUGAAAAGGCCCAGAGGAGCGGCCCAGACCCUCACAGUGGCCCCGGUGCAGGUUGCGGAAGGUCCAGGCCCUACCUUCGGGUCGUCCGACAGCAAGCUGGCCUCAGCCCAGGGACCCAGGACACCCCCAGGCCACAGGCCGGAGCUCAGCCUGGGGCAGAGGCCACAGGAAGCCCAAGUCCUCCUGCCUGUGGGCAGAAGAGAGGCCCAUCUCCUCUGAGCGCCACAGCCACAGCACAGAGUGGACAGGCGCUCUCCCCACCCAGCCCCGGCCCUCUCCCUCCACACCUGUCAGUCCGGAGCCAUGGCACUGGGGCCCCAUGGAGCCGGGCAGCUGUGUAAGCGAGGGCUGGGAGGUCAGUGUGAGCACAGAGUCUGGGUCAGAGCCCCAGCUUCGUCCCCCUGCCUGUGCGCUGUAGGCCCUCUCGCCCUCUCUGGGCCUCAGUGCCGCGUCUCGACACCACGGGAGUUUUUAACCUCUCACUUCCACCAGGGCGACUCCCAGGCUGCUGGGUGGAUUAAAUAAGCUAUCGGUUGGCCACAUAGACAGAGGCUGGGCCAAAGGAACAUGGAUUCGAGUCCUGCUCUGACCUGUCCCAAGCCUUGGACGGCCACCACCCUCCUGAGCUGGCUUUGACCCAGGAGAUGGGAGUGAGGGCGCACCUUGGAGACCAGGCGAAGGGGCACGGUGCCUCGGUCCUGGUUAUUUACAUGCUGGGAGUCGGCUGGCGAGCGGCGGUGUUUCCAGAAAGGGAGGAAGAACCCACCGGUGGGUCUGGAGCAUGGGCCGUGUCCUGGGGGCUUCAGGAGUGUGCUCACACUGGGGCUCCCCAGACGCCAGCACCCUCUCCUCUGUGUGCUCCGGACAGCUGACAGGUUGUGCCUGGGCACCUGCUGAGGGUGGGCCUGAUCCCAC
rnacentral:lncRNA from 1 species